rnacentral:rRNA from 1 species
AUUGAACGCUGGCGGCAUGCCUUACACAUGCAAGUCGAACGGCAGCACGGGUGCUUGCACCUGGUGGCGAGUGGCGAACGGGUGAGUAAUACAUCGGAACGUACCUUAUCGUGGGGGAUAACGCAGCGAAAGCUGUGCUAAUACCGCAUACGCCCUGAGGGGGAAAGCGGGGGAUCGCAAGACCUCGCGCGAUUAGAGCGGCCGAUGCCUGAUUAGCUAGUUGGUGGGGUAAAAGCCCACCAAGGCGACGAUCAGUAGCUGGUCUGAGAGGACGAUCAGCCACACUGGGACUAAGACACGGCCCAGACUCCUACGGGAGGCAGCAGUGGGGAAUUUUGGACAAUGGGGGAAACCCUGAUCCAGCAAUGCCGCGUGAGUGAAGAAGGCCUUCGGGUUGUAAAGCUCUUUUGUCAGGGAAGAAACACCGGCUCUAACACAGUCCGGGAAUGACGGUACCUGAAGAAUAAGCACCGGCUAACUACGUGCCAGCCGCCGCCGUAA